GAUGAACGCUGGCGGCGUGCUUAACACAUGCAAGUCGAACGAACCUUCGGGUUAGUGGCGGACGGGUGAGUAACGCGUGAGAAUCUGCCCUCAGGAGGGGGACAACAGCUGGAAACGGCUGCUAAUACCCCAUAUGCCGCGAGGUGAAAUGAAUUUCGCCUGAGGAUGAGCUCGCGUCUGAUUAGCUAGUUGGUGUAGGUAAUGGCUCACCAAGGCAUCGAUCAGUAGCUGGUCUGAGAGGAUGAUCAGCCACACUGGGACUGAGACACGGCCCAGACUCCUACGGGAGGCAGCAGUGGGGAAUUUUCCGCAAUGGGCGAAAGCCUGACGGAGCAACGCCGCGUGAGGGAUGAAGGCCUCUGGGCUGUAAACCUCUUUUAUCAAGGAAGAAGAUCUGACGGUAUUUGAGGAAUAAGCCACGGCUAAUUCAUCAAGUACCGUCAGAUCUUCUUCCUUGAUAAAAGAGGAAGAUCUGACGGUACUUGAGG
rnacentral:rRNA from 1 species